UUUGGACAGUGAUUUUAACCCUAACGCCAAAAACCCUUAAACCUUUCCCUAGUCCCAAAACCUAAUACACGGGUAUUACUUUCAGGAAGCCCCAAAACCCCCAAUAAUAUUUUUUUCUUUUUUUCAUAUUUUUUGGUCUAACUAACUCCAAAAGGUUGGAAAAGAGUUCCUACAAAGGUUUUGGACAGUGAUUUUAACCCUAACGCCAAAAACCUUAAACCUUACCCUAGCCUUGAAAUCUAAUACCCGGGUAUUACCUUCAGGAAGCCUGAACACCCCAAAUAUUUUUUUCUUCAUUUUACAUUUUUUUUGGUCUAACCAACUCCAAAAGGUUGGAAAAGAGUUCCUACAAAGGUUUUGGACAGUGAUUUUAACCCUAACGCCAAAAAACUUAAACCUUACCCUAGCCUCAAAAUCUAAUACCCGGGUAUUACAUUCAGGAAGCCCGAAAACCCCAAAUAUUUUUUUUUAUUUUUCAUUUUUUUUUGGUCUAACUAACUCCAAAAGGUUGGAAAAGAGUUCCUACAAAGGUUUUGGACAGUGAUUUUAACCCUAACGCCAAAAACUUAAACCUUACCAUAGCCCCAAAACCUAAUACCCGGGUAUUACUUUCAGGGAGCCCGAAAACCCCCAAUAAUAUUUUUUUCUUUUUUCAUAUUUUUUGGUCUAACUAACUCCAAAAGGUUGGAAAAGAGUUCCUACAAAGGUUUUGGACAGUGAUUUUAACCCUAACGCCAAAAACCUUAAACCUUACCAUAGCCCCAAAACCUAAUACCCGGGUAUUACUUUCAGGAAGCCCGAAACCCCAAAUAUAUUUUUUUUUUUUUCAUUUUUUUUGGUCUAACUAACUCCAAAAGGUUGGAAAAGAGUUCCUACAAAGGUUUUGGACAGUGAUUUUAACCCUAACGCCAAAAACCUUAAACCUUACCAUAGCCCCAUAACCUAAUACCCGGGUAUUACUUUUAGGAAGCCUGAACACCCCAAAUACUUUUUUUUUCAUUUUUCUUUUUUUUUUGGUCUAACUAACUCCAAAAGGUUGGAAAAGAGUUCCUACAAAGGUUUUGGACAGUGAUUUUAACCCUAACGCCAAAAAACUUAAACCUUACUAUAGCCCCAAAACCUAAUACCCGGGUAUUACUUUCAGGGAGCCCGAAAACCCCCAAUAAUAUUUUUUUCUUUUUUCAUAUUUUUUGGUCUAACUAACUCCAAAAGGUUGGAAAAGAGUUCCUACAAAGGUUUUGGACAGUGAUUUUAACCCUAACGCCAAAAAACUUAAACCUUACCAUAGCCCCAAAACCUAAUAAUACCCCCAAUAAUAUUUUUUUCUUUUUUCAUAUUUUUUGGUCUAACUAACUCCAAAAGGUUGGAAAAGAGUUCCUACAAAGGUUUUGGACAGUGAUUUUAACCCUAACGCCAAAAAACUUAAACCUUUCCCUAGGCCUUAAAAUCUAAUACCCGGGUAUUACAUUCAGGAAGCCCGAAAACCCCAAAUAUAUUUUUUUUCAUUUUUCAUUUUUUUUUGGUCUAACUAACUCCAAAAGGUUGGAAAAGAGUUCCUACAAAGGUUUUGGACAGUGAUUUUAACCCUAACGCCAAAAACCUUAAACCUUACCAUAGCCCCAUAACCUAAUUCCCGGGUAUUACUUUUAGGAAGCCUGAACACCCCAAAUAUAUUUUUUUUUCAUUUUUCAUUUUUUUUUGGUCUAACUAACUCCAAAAGGUUGGAAAAGAGUUCCUACAAAGGUUUUGGACAGUGAUUUUAACCCUAACGCCAAAAAACUUAAACCUUACCAUAGCCCCAAAACCUAAUACCCGGGUAUUACUUUCAGGAAGCCCGAAAACCCCAAAUAUAUUUUUUUCAUUUUUCAUUUUUUUUGGUCUAACUAACUCCAAAAGGUUGGAAAAGAGUUCCUACAAAGGUUUUGGACAGUGAUUUUAACCCUAACGCCAAAAACCUUAAACCUUUCCCUGGCCUUAAAAUCUAAUACCCGGGUAUUACAUUCAGGAAGCCCGUAAACCCCAAAUAUAUUUUUUUUCAUUUUUCAUUUUUUUUUUGGUUUAACUAAUUCCAAAAGGUUGAAAAGAGUUCCUACAAAGGUUUUGGACAGUGAUUUUAACCCUAACGCCAAAAACCUUAAACCUUACCAUAGCCCCAUAACCUAAUACCCGGGUAUUACUUUUAGGAAGCCUGAACACCCCAAAUAUAUUUUUUUUAAUUUUUCCUUUUUUUUUUGGUCUAACUAACUCCAAAAGGUUGGAAAAGAGUUCCUACAAAGGUUUUGGACAGUGAUUUUAAACCUAACGCCAAAACGUUAAACCUUACCAUAGCCCCAUAACCUAAUACCCGGGUAUUACUUUUAGGAAGCCUGAACACCCCAAAUAUUUUUUUUUCAUUUUCCUUUUUUUUUUUGUCUAACUAACUCCAAAAGGUUGGAAAAGAGUUCCUACAAAGGUUUUGGACAGUGAUUUUAACCCUAACGCCAAAAAACUUAAACCUUACCAUAGCCCCAAAACCUAAUAAUACCCCCAAUAAUAUUUUUUUCUUUUUUCAUAUUUUUUGGUCUAACUAACUCCAAAAGGUUGGAAAAGAGUUCCUACAAAGGUUUUGGACAGUGAUUUUAACCCUAACGCCAAAAAACUUAAACCUUUCCCUGGCCUUAAAAUCUAAUACCCGGGUAUUACAUUCAGGAAGCCCGUAAACCCCAAAUAUAUUUUUUUUCAUUUUUCAUUUUUAUUUUGGUCUAACUAACUCCAAAAGGUUGAAAAAGAGUUCCUACAAAGGUUUUGGACAGUGAUUUUAACCCUAACGCCAAAAACCUUAAACCUUACCAUAGCCCCAUAACCUAAUUCCCGGGUAUUACUUUUAGGAAGCCUGAACACCCCAAAUAUAUUUUUUUUAAUUUUUCAUUUUUUUUUGGUCUAACUAACUCCAAAAGGUUGGAAAAGAGUUCCUACAAAGGUUUUGGACAGUGAUUUUAACCCUAACGCCAAAAACUUAAACCUUACCAUAGCCCCAAAACCUAAUACCCGGGUAUUACUUUCAGGAAGCCCGAAACCCCAAAUAUUUUUUUUUUUCAUUUUUCUUUUUUUUUUGGUCUAACUAACUCCAAAAGGUUGAAAAAGAGUUCCUACAAAGGUUUUGGACAGUGAUUUUAACCCUAACGCCAAAACCCUUAAACCUUUCCCUAGUCCCAAAACCUAAUACCCGGGUAUUACUUUCAGGAAGCCCGAAAACCCCCAAUAAUAUUUUUUUCUUUUUUCAUAUUUUUUGGUCUAACUAACUCCAAAAGGUUGGAAAAGAGUUCCUACAAAGGUUUUGGACAGUGAUUUUAACCCUAACGCCAAAACGUUAAACCUUUCCCUAGCCCAAAACCUAAUACCCGGGUAUUACUUUCAGGAAGCCCGAAAACCCCCAACAAUAUUUUUUUCUUUUUUCAUAUUUUUUGGUCUAACUAACUCCAAAAGGUUGGAAAAGAGUUCCUACAAAGGUUUUGGACAGUGAUUUUAACCCUAACGCCAAAAACCUUAAACCUUACCAUAGCCCCAUAACCUAAUACCCGGGUAUUACUUUCAGGAAGCCUGAACACCCCAAAUAUUUUUUUUUCAUUUUUCUUUUUUUUUUUGGUCUAACUAACUCCAAAAGGUUGGAAAAGAGUUCCUACAAAGGUUUUGGACAGUGAUUUUAACCCUAACGCCAAAACCCUUAAACCUUUCCCUAGUCCCAAAACCUAAUACCCGGGUAUUACUUUCAGGAGCCCGAAAACCCCCAAUAAUAUUUUUUUCUUUUUUCAUAUUUUUUGGUCUAACUAACUCCAAAAGGUUGGAAAAGAGUUCCUACAAAGGUUUUGGACAGUGAUUUUAACCCUAACGCCAAAAACCUUAAACCUUACCCUAGCCUUGAAAUCUAAUACCCGGGUAUUACCUUCAGGAAGCCUGAACACCCAAAAUAUUUUUUUCUUCAUUUUACAUUUUUGUUGGUGUAACCAACUCCAAAAGGUUGGAAAAGAGUUCCUACAAAGGUUUUGGACAGUGAUUUUAACCCUAAUGCCAAAAAACUUAAACCUUACCCUAGCCUCAAAAUCUAAUACCCGGGUAUUACAUUCAGGAACCCCGAAAACCCCAAAUAUUUUUUUUAAUUUUUCAUUUUUUUUUGGUCUAACUAACUCCAAAAGGUUGGAAAAGAGUUCCUACAAAGGUUUUGGACAGUGAUUUUAACCCUAACGCCAAAAAACUUAAACCUUACCAUAGCCCCAAAACCUAAUACCUGGGUAUUACUUUCAGGAAGCCCGAAAACCCCCAAUAAUAUUUUUUUCUUUUUUCAUAUUUUUUGGUCUAACUAACUCCAAAAGGUUGGAAAAGAGUUCCUACAAAGGUUUUGGACAGUGAUUUUAACCCUAACGCCAAAAACCUUAAACCUUACCCUAGCC
rnacentral:lncRNA from 1 species